rnacentral:rRNA from 1 species
UACGAAGGGGGCUAGCGUUGCUCGGAAUCACUGGGCGUAAAGCGCACGUAGGCGGCUUCUUAAGUCAGGGGUGAAAUCCUGGAGCUCAACUCCAGAACUGCCUUUGAUACUGGGGAUCUCGAGUCCGGGAGAGGUGAGUGGAACUGCGAGUGUAGAGGUGAAAUUCGUAGAUAUUCGCAAGAACACCAGUGGCGAAGGCGGCUCACUGGCCCGGAACUGACGCUGAGGUGCGAAAGCGUGGGGAGCAAACAGG